GUCCGGGGCGCGGGGCCGGGCCGGCAGGGCCGCACCGCCUCGGGGCGGAGCCGGCGGCGCUGCCGUGCCCGCGCCUUUGCCCGUGUCCGCGCCAGGGAGCCUGUCCUGGGAAAUCCGGGAUGCUGUUCUGGCGGCCGGUAGGGCCGGUGAUAUCCUGGGCUGCAUCCAGCACAACCUGUGGCCAACGGGUCGAGGGAGGUGAUCCUGCCCCACCGCUCGGCCCGGGCUGAGCCCUCCUUCACCUCCAGGAAGUGAGGAGAUGGCUGCUCCCUGCCAAGAAAGUGCAGCCAGGUUUCUGCCACACAGUGAGCAGGCAAAGGGCUGGUGUCUGAGGUUAGCGAGGGAAAGCAGAAUAAUAUGCAAAACCAAGAUGAAACAUGUUUCAGGUCUACAUUACAAUUCAAACAGAAAAGACAUGUGACACAGUUUAACAAAGAUCUGCUUAGCUGAAAAAUCCAAUUAAAACCUGAAUUGUCCUUCGGCUGUGCCUGGCACGCUGCCAUUUCAGCAGUCCAGCGCCGUGGCAAUAAAGUGGAAGAAGAAUAAACGAAACGUGCUCCUUGUGCGGUGACACUUGGGGACAGCGUGGCGAGCGCUGCCUUUUGCCCCUGAGGAUGGUCGGGCUUGGCACUGCCGGCCGCCUCCCGGGACAAAAGGGAUCGGCCGAGCAGGAGCACCGCCCGAAAGGUGGAAUUGAACCACUCUGUCGCUAGACAGCUACAGGUUUGAAGCCUGCACCCCAGACCACUGAGGGUCAUCCGGGCAAUUCCAAACCGCCGUGCGACACGCUAUAUGAAGGCCCUCAUUUCUUUCACUUCAAGAACUGCCUGUCUCGGAGUCACAGGGAUGGAUGUGGUUAGAGCAGACAGAGCCAUCAAGACAUGUGCUUAUCUAUCAAUCGUACCAGCUGUUUCUGGCAUGCAGCAACUGACUGACCACAGUAAGGAAACGAGGAUGUAAUCAGUUAGCAGAGCUCUCCUUUCUCAGCAAGGACGAUAAGGAUUGUUGGCAAACCCACAGAGAGUUACGGGAAUAGAGGAA